GCGAUCAGCAGUUUUGCACUUUCAUGUCCAACGUUUGACCAUUCGUCUUAUUAAAAAAAUUUAUGAUUAGUAUUUUUAUUGUUAUUAGAUGAUAAAAUAUGAAUAAUACUUUUUUGACUAAUUUUAUUAAUUUUUUCAUAAUUUUUUUAAAUAAGACAGACUGUCAAACAUUAGACACAGAUAUCCACGACUGCACUUAUU
rfam:Oryza nivara chromosome 7, whole genome shotgun sequence.